ensembl:lncRNA
GUGGCAUGUAGAUGCCCAAACAGGUGCCCACACACAGCACAUAGAAAGAGGCGUAGCAUUAAGGAGCAAGUGUGGAGGCAAAGAGGUGAUCACAGCGAAUGCUUUGUGUCUGACCAUCUUUGUCUUAUAGAGGGACUCAAUGGCUAAGCAGGAACACAGAGACGGUCCUCUUGGUAGGACACUACAUGAUGUAGCUAACAGGUACAGGGUGUAGGCUACAAUGGAGGCUAAAUAGUGGGAGUGGAUCACAGUUUCAUUUCCAUUGCUGCCCCUGAAAAGGUUCGCUGAGUUUAGAGAUCAGAAUACAGGAAAGCACAUGGUGAUUUUACUGGGAAAUAUCUAGAUGCCGUCCAUGACUUGAUGUUGUGCUGAUGGACCAUGUUUUAAAAAAAGUUAAACCGUUAAAUGUUCAGAGGAAUAAAAAUAAUGAUAAUCUACCUCAGUUUUAUCAUGCACUUUAAGGUAGUUUCAAUGUUUUUGAUAAUAUGCCUCGAUUUUUACAGAUCCUGAGAGUGUUUUUAUUUUUUACAUUUGUAGUCCACAGCAAUAAAUAAAACUAUUUUGGCCGUCACAGUUGAAACACUUGUACUAUGUUUUUUUUCUUCCCAUUAAGUGAGGGACUGUAAUGAAGCCAUUUGUACUGCCUAAACCAAGUGUCCUGAAUUCUGAGUGUCUUUUUUUCAGGGACUGAGUUUCAAUAAAGUGGGUAUUGGGCUGGUGUGGGCAGGUACCGAGCUCCUCCUCACGCUGAUCUAAACCACUGCCUCCUGUGCCUGGUUCUGUCUCUCUUUCCCUGUCAGUCUCCUGAAAUAUAUGUAUGUAACAUGUAGCGUUGGAAAAACCACCAAGAAAUCAUACACAAGAUGCAGGUACCUGCAAUGCCUUACUUAGCUACAUACUUAAAAUGACUGUCUAUGUGCAACACUAAAUUGCAUUCAUUUCACAUUAAUUUCUCACCUGAUCAUCUGCAUGUCCAGAGCUUGUCCCUGUGUGGCCACUGCUUUUAACUUGCCUGUCUCUUUCCCCGUCUCUCUGUGACGCCUGCAUUGUGACCACAUGUCAUUUUAUCAGAAAAACAGCAACUCGUGCUGCCCACUUCGACCGAACGCGGGCCAAACCAUUAACAUGAUAGGGAAGGGUAUAUUUUACAUAUUUUCUGCUGUAUAUUGGGGGGGACAGAUUGGUACCUUUUCAAUAUUGGGGGGGACACGACCCCCCCAAAGAAUGCGUGGUUACGCCUAUGGACCAUCACAUGUCCAUCACAUCAGGACUCCUGUCCAUCAAACCACAUGUGCAGAGAACCCAUCCAAACCACGGCGAAGGAGGAGAAGCUGCUGUUGGAGGACGUCCUCCUCAUAGACAUUCUCAGAUAUCUGCAGCAGCAGAAGCAAACAAGAGACAGCGAGACAGGAGACGACUGCAGGUGAGAGACAAAUAGCCCCAAUACCCCGUCCCCCCCAGAGGACAAAUAUCCAGCAGGUAGAGACCGUUCAAUGGGUCUCCAGC